ensembl:lncRNA
CUAGUGCGCCUCUAAUUUGUACCUGUUGCAAAGCUACAGUAUCACUCAGUAUCAGGUUUUGUCUUAAGCCUGGAUUUUAUAAUUUAUGUUAUUCUUUUCACUUCUUGAAAAGAAAGGAAUGGAUUAUUUGGUCAGUUGAUAGUUGAACAUGUUGUAUUUGCUUUAGUUAAAAUGCAGAGGAAUGUAAGGUGGUGAAAGAACAACUUUAAGUGCCAAACCUUGACACCAAUGUGAUUUAUACUUUCAGAAACCCAUAGUAUUCAGUUAUAUUUAAAUUUAGAAUUACCUUUGAUUAGGGUUUUGAAAAUAAUGUGUGAGUGGGAGAAAAGUGUGUUCUUGGAGAGUUAAAUAUUUAACAGAUGUCAAAUAUAAUAUACUAUAAACAUAUACAGCAUACAAAUCCCCCCCCAAAAAGUGAACAUAUUUGUUUGCAUAUCUUUGCUCAUCAACUCGUGGUCCAUGGCGUAUGAAUAAAUAUGAAAGUACAGAGAAUAAACCACGCAUUACCUUUAUUUAAAUGUCUCUGUCUUCGAGACACACUUUUAGUAAUUCAAAUACAACCUCUGAGUAAGAAUAAGUCAGCCCAGUGUUUUGUAACUAAGGUUGAGCAGUCAGAAAGUAGAGGUGUUUUAAACUCUGAGGAAGCGGUUUCUGAGCUAUAUCAAGCCUUAGUAUGUAUUGUAAGUCAACACGCACUGCAUAACCAGUCAUUCAAAUGUAACAGGUCCUGUUAAAGAACAAUGCUGGCAUACAACAUUAACUAUUUAAAAUGUCCCCCCCAAAAAACAUGAUGUUUUUUUCUGGUGAAUGCUUUAUUUUUCUUGUGCUAGUUUACACAAUGGUUUAAGGUUUUGGAAUUCCCAGGGUAGUUAGAGUAAGAUAGUCAUAAAAAUGUCCGCACAAGAUCAGUCAAUCACAAAUAUGGAUAUAUUUCACAUACAGUAUAAGUGAAGUGAUGAAUUGGCUUAAUUUAGUUUGGCCUCAUGCCUUGCGUCCAUCUCCGACCAUUGUGGGCACUGUGUAUGUUAAAUGAAGACAGCAUUCAACGAUCAAGAAAGACAAAGUAAUUUUAUUUUGGGGAAACUACGAAUAAGACUUACGUGAAGAGCACAUGUAAAUAAUUUUUAUUGUUAUAUAUUUUGUCAGACUGGAGAAAAAAUAAAUAUACGCAGCAUCAUUGCAGUACCGGGUACCUGGGUUCCAAUAAGAAAACACAUAUAUUAUGAAUUCCAUUUAUAUGUUUGUUGUUUGCCAUCUCUGUAUAUUUCUUGAGUAUUGAGCUAAAGGGACACAAUAAUUAUUGUUAGGGUCUGCAUAAUAUACUAAAUGUACUUAAAAAUCCUUUUCAUAAGGGAAUUGCACAGAUGUGG